rnacentral:rRNA from 1 species
UACAGAGGGUGCGAGCGUUAAUCGGAAUUACUGGGCGUAAAGCGCACGUAGGUGGCGACGUAAGUCGGGUGUGAAAGCCCCGGGCUCAACCUGGGAAUUGCAUUCGAGACUGCAUUGCUGGAGUACGGAAGAGGAAGGCGGAAUUCCCGGUGUAGCGGUGAAAUGCGUAGAUAUCGGGAGGAACAUCAGUGGCGAAGGCGGCCUUCUGGUCCAGUACUGACACUCAAGUGCGAAAGCGUGGGGAGCAAACAGGAUUAGAAACCCCCGUAGUCC